UCCCUGGUAGUAUAUCGGUUAGUACACGCGCCUGUCAUAAAAGCUGAAUGGCGCGCGAAAGCUGGGUUCGACUCCCAGACAGGGAG
rnacentral:tRNA from 1 species